UACGUAGGGUGCGAGCGUUGUCCGGAAUUAUUGGGCGUAAAGAGCUUGUAGGCGGUUUGUCGCGUCUGCUGUGAAAAUCCGGGGCUCAACCCCGGACUUGCAGUGGGUACGGGCAGACUAGAGUGUGGUAGGGGAGACUGGAAUUCCUGGUGUAGCGGUGAAAUGCGCAGAUAUCAGGAGGAAUACCGAAGGCGAAGGCAGUCUUCCAAGCCGUUAUUGACGCUCAACUGCGAAGGUGUGGGUAUCAAACAGGAUUAGAUACCCGGGUAGUCCCU
rnacentral:rRNA from 1 species